GUCACUCUUUAAAAAUGCCACCAUGAAGACAUCUCACUCGCUGACUCCUUUCUUAACUGUAAUUUCCAUCCACAAGCUCUGUUACUAUGAGUCAUCAUUGCUGGAUCCAGUCAGACGUGGGGCAUGAGAAGACAGAGUGUCUGGACUACAAGGCCGGGAACAGACCGGAUGUUGGACCAUAGUGAAUGUCCCAAGGGGAAUACAAAGUAUGGGAACCAGCACCUGCCCUCCCAAGGCCCAAGUUCUGUGAGAGGCUGAGACGUAAGUAACACAAACCAGGCUGACCCGCCUCACAGAACGGAGCUGCAGCACAGGGAACGCGGCAGGGCCAAGAGCUGGAGCUGAGGCUGCGAGAAGAGGGCGUUGGUUGUUGAGGAGCCCCAGCUGCACCUCGACCCUCAUUCAAGCUGAGAUGACUUCCACAUGGUUCUUUCCUUUUCCCAAGUUCUCUUCCAGCCUGGGUAACGUGGCUGCUUUUGCCUGGUUUCCGCCCCUCUGGUUCUAACCACACAUCUUUCGAAGCUGAAGACACCUUAGCAAUGAGUCAGCAUUCCUCCCUUCACAUAGCAGAAGCCCCAGUCAGGCUCAGCUCUUGUUAUUAAUAUUGUCACUGUCAAUAUUAUUAUUUGCUCACCAACUACCGAUUAGCCAGUGAUGGCGAACCUAUGACAUGCGAACUCAUUUUUUUGGUUGAUUUUUCUUUGUCAA